CAGGGGGCCAUAGUCUCACCACCUCUCUGCAGACUCGGCACCCAGGAAGAUGUGGCUUGCCUAGAAGAAGGAGGGCCUGCAGGACGGGAGGUGGCCCAGCAUGGCUCCACAUUGUGACUAGGCUAUUUCAGAGCUUCUGAGAUCUGCUGGUGGUGGUCGCCUCACUGCCUACAACAGGUGUGAAGGAAGAUGGUUCAGGACCAGGAUGCAGGAGUUUCCUCUCAGGACAAGACCACGGCAGGGCACUGACAGACUGACAUCCGGACUGCAGGGAGUGAGCUGAUGUCGACUGCUCCCUCCACCAGGAACAGCUCUCUCCUCUAAGACCCAAGAGGGGAAGAUGGAGUGUGUUCUAAUCCUGCUUAUAGCUUUCCUGCCUCCAGCUAGUCAACUAUCUUCCAACUUGGAAGCAAGAACCAUGACAGUCACUGGGAAGACUGGAUCAUCUGUUGUAAUCACUUGUGAUCUUGCUCGAGGCAACAACUACAUCCACUGGUACCAAUUUGAACAGGGGAAAGUCCCACAACACCUCCUCUACUACGACUACCACAGCUCCACGGUGGUGGUGGAUUUGGGAAUCAGUAGUUCAGGGAAAUACCACGCUUAUGAAAGCACAAGAAGCUACAAAUUUGUGAUCCGAUAUCUGCAAGAAAGUGAUUCUGGUGUGUAUUACUGUGCUGUCUGGAAGAGGCACAGUGAUCGAAAUCUUCCCUGAACUACACUGAAAAUUUUGCCUCUGACAACACCUGGUACAGGCAGCCCAACUCACUUCCUGCCCUUGGCUUCACUCUAGUCUGAACAGAGAAAUCUGAAGCUCAGUGACUAGCACCCGCCCCACAUUCUACUCCUCUGCCAACAGCUGCACCCUGCCCGCCCCCUACCUGGAACUCCCAGGACUUUCUAAGGUUGGGGCUACCAUGUCUGUGCCUAAGCUGAGCCAUCUGGCUGACAGCAUAGUUCUUUGAACUCUGCUGGGGGCUGGUAGAAUAACAUUCAAUCUGCUUUCUAUGACAAUGUCACCCAGGGUCGGUCUGUUACGAAAGACAUUUAGGAGACCAUUAUGGGAAGGGCAUUUGUAUUGAAUCAUUUAUUCAACAUUAUGGAGAUAUCAUGGAUAGAAAUGGGGAUUCUUUAUUUCAGAGGAGUAAUAGAAAUGUUGGAAUGGAAACUUUAGAUUUCAUGAAGACCUUAUGCUUGUAAGUAAUCAAAUGUGUUAUCUUCUGUUUAUUUACCUCAUGACCACCAUCCAUGGUACUGCGGGUAUUAACAAGAAUGUAGAAAAACAGUGAUUGUUGUAUAUACGCUCUCUAUUGCAUCUACUUAC